GAGUUUGAUCCUGGCUCAGGAUGAACGCUGGCGGCGUGCCUAACACAUGCAAGUCGAACGGGGAUAUAUUGGAAUGAGGAUUCGUCUGAAGGAAAAUGUAUCUUAGUGGCGGACGGGUGAGUAACGCGUGGGCAACCUACCGUAUACAGGGGGAUAACACUUAGAAAUAGGUGCUAAUACCGCAUAAGCGCACAGCAGUGCAUACUGGAGUGUGAAAAGCCGAGACGGUAUACGAUGGGCCCGCGUCUGAUUAGCCAGUUGGCAGGGUAACGGCCUACCAAAGCGACGAUCAGUAGCCGGCCUGAGAGGGCGGACGGCCACAUUGGGACUGAGACACGGCCCAGACUCCUACGGGAGGCAGCAGUGGGGGAUAUUGCACAAUGGGGGGAACCCUGAUGCAGCGACGCCGCGUGAGUGAAGAAGUAAUUCGUUAUGUAAAGCUCUAUCAGCAGGGAAGAAUAAAUGACGGUACCUGAGUAAGAAGCCCCGGCUAACUACGUGCCAGCAGCCGCGGUAAUACGUAGGGGGCAAGCGUUAUCCGGAUUUACUGGGUGUAAAGGGAGCGUAGACGGCGAUGCAAGCCAGAUGUGAAAGCCCGCGGCUCAACUGCGGUAGUGCAUUUGGAACUGUAUGGCUGGAGUGCAGGAGAGGCAGGCGGAAU
rnacentral:rRNA from 1 species